AGAGAGUAGCAGUGCUGCCAAGGACUGAUACGUAUUCACCCAAUUCAAGCCAAGACGGGGACUAUACAAGUACUGGCACCAGUCCCCUCAUCCAUCAAAUAGCGACAGUAGCCGUCGUUCACAAGUCAGCAGUCGCACAACCCGACGACGACAACAAAGCUGCCGCAGAAUUUGAAAACAGCAGUGAAUCAGGAAACGCACAAGUAUACACAGUGAACCAUCCAUCAUCAUGCAGACACGACGUCCGAAGUGUCCAACACUGCAGUACUAGUUGCCGUCAAUGGGAUCGCUGCCACGAGAGCGACAAAGAAGACGAAACGGAGAGAAACAAAGACACAGAAGAGAGAAACGAAGACACAGAAGAGAGAAACGAAGACACAAGAAACGAGACACAAGACAACAUAAGAGCUGAUAGUAAGUCAAAUGUGGACAAAACAGCAGACAACAUUGUGACAAACACGAGAGACGAAUUUGUAGCCGAAAGUACCGAGGGACCUCCUGUGUUGCACAUUCCCUCCGAGUCACGACGAAGACGUCGAUAGCAAACACGACGAACCGGCCGAUAAGCAGGAAAUCGUCGUUCCUGUUGUACAACCGAUUG